CUGUGUUUUAUAAGCACCUAUUCACUGAAAAUUAUGCAGUUGAACUGAUUUGAAUUUGAUUAGCGGGGAAGAACAGGAUGAGGGCAGUCGUGCCAAUUCAAGGACAAAGCACUGUGUCCCCAGCAGGCAGCAGAGAGGAGGAGCAGAGCUGCUACCAGAGGGGCCGGCACUGAGCACGGAAUCGCUCCUUCAAUGUCAGCCAGCUUCAUGAGCUGCAAUGUGAAUGCUCUGGGAAGCUAG